rnacentral:rRNA from 1 species
CUCCAGUCUCCUACGGGAGGCAGCAGUGGGGAAUAUUGGGCAAUGGGCGCAAGCCUGACCCAGCAACGCCGCGUGAAGGAAGAAGGCUUUCGGGUUGUAAACUUCUUUUGUCAGGGACGAAGCAAGUGACGGUACCUGACGAAUAAGCCACGGCUAACUACGUGCCAGCCGCCGCGGUAAUACGUAGGUGGCAAGCGUUAUCCGGAUUUACUGGGUGUAAAGGGCGAGUAGGCGGGAUUGCAAGUCAGAUGUGAAAACUAUGGGCUCAACCGAGGGAGUGCAUUUGAAACUGCGGUUCUUGAGUGAUGGAGAGGCAGGCGGAAUUCCCGGUGGAGCGGGGGAAUGCGUAGAUAUCGGGGG